UUUAUGGAGAGUUUGAUCCUGGCUCAGGAUGAACGCUGGCGGCGUGCCUAAUACAUGCAAGUCGAGCGAACGGACGAGAAGCUUGCUUCUCUGAUGUUAGCGGCGGACGGGUGAGUAACACGUGGAUAACCUACCUAUAAGACUGGGAUAACUUCGGGAAACCGGAGCUAAUACCGGAUAAUAUUUUGAACCGCAUGGUUCAAAAGUGAAAGACGGUCUUGCUGUCACUUAUAGAUGGAUCCGCGCUGCAUUAGCUAGUUGGUAAGGUAACGGCUUACCAAGGCAACGAUGCAUAGCCGACCUGAGAGGGUGAUCGGCCACACUGGAACUGAGACACGGUCCAGACUCCUACGGGAGGCAGCAGUAGGGAAUCUUCCGCAAUGGGCGAAAGCCUGACGGAGCAACGCCGCGUGAGUGAUGAAGGUCUUCGGAUCGUAAAACUCUGUUAUUAGGGAAGAACAUAUGUGUAAGUAACUGUGCACAUCUUGACGGUACCUAAUCAGAAAGCCACGGCUAACUACGUGCCAGCAGCCGCGGUAAUACGUAGGUGGCAAGCGUUAUCCGGAAUUAUUGGGCGUAAAGCGCGCGUAGGCGGUUUUUUAAGUCUGAUGUGAAAGCCCACGGCUCAACCGUGGAGGGUCAUUGGAAACUGGAAAACUUGAGUGCAGAAGAGGAAAGUGGAAUUCCAUGUGUAGCGGUGAAAUGCGCAGAGAUAUGGAGGAACACCAGUGGCGAAGGCGACUUUCUGGUCUGUAACUGACGCUGAUGUGCGAAAGCGUGGGGAUCAAACAGGAUUAGAUACCCUGGUAGUCCACGCCGUAAACGAUGAGUGCUAAGUGUUAGGGGGUUUCCGCCCCUUAGUGCUGCAGCUAACGCAUUAAGCACUCCGCCUGGGGAGUACGACCGCAAGGUUGAAACUCAAAGGAAUUGACGGGGACCCGCACAAGCGGUGGAGCAUGUGGUUUAAUUCGAAGCAAC
rnacentral:rRNA from 1 species